rnacentral:rRNA from 1 species
ACGAACGCUGGCGGCGUGCCUAAUACAUGCAAGUCGAACGGUCUUUCUAUGGAAGCUUGCUUCCACUGAGAAGAUAGUGGCGAACGGGUGAGUAACACGUGGGUAACCUGCCCAUAAGAGGGGGAUAACAUCCGGAAACGGAUGCUAAUACCGCAUAGUUUUCUUGAUCGCAUGAUCGGGAAAGGAAAGACGGCCUUUGUGCUGUCGCUUAUGGAUGGACCCGCGGCGUAUUAGUUAGUUGGUGAGGUAACGGCUCACCAAGACGAUGAUACGUAGCCGACCUGAGAGGGUGAUCGGCCACAUUGGGACUGAGACACGGCCCAAACUCCUACGGGAGGCAGCAGUAGGGAAUCUUCCGCAAUGGACGAAAGUCUGACGGAGCAACGCCGCGUGAGUGAAGAAGGUUUUCGGAAUCGUAAAACUCUGUUGUCAGAGAAGAACAAGUUGGAGAGUAACUGCUCCAGCCUUGACGGUAUCUGACCAGAAAGCCACGGCUAACUACGUGCCAGCAGCAGC